CACAACUACUGAGCCCACACACCACAACUACUGAAGCCUGUGUGCCUAGAGCCCAUGCUCCGCAGCAAGAGAAGCCACCGCAAUGAGAAGCCCGUGCACCGCAACGAAGAGUAGCCCCUGCUCACCGCAACUAGAGAAAGCCUGCGUGCAGCAGCAAAAACCCAAUGCAGCCAAAAAUAACUUUUUUUUUAAAUAAAAAUAAAAAUGGGAGACAGCCGGCUGAGAGCUGCAGCACUGGCUGCCCCAGGGCACAGGUUUCUCCCAGCAGCUUUGUUCACUGAUUCAACGGACUGUUUACUGAGCCCCUCUGUGUGCCAAGUGCAUGCAGCCUGAUCACCCAACUUCCUGAUCUUCACAUUCUCUGUUUUCCCAGACAAGUUGUGGUACAAAGAGCAAUGUGAUUCCUACUGUCCAGCUUUUGUUGGUCUGGAGCAGAGAAGGGAUUGGUGCAGAGCUCCCAUUGCUCCUAAGAUCAUUUGUCCCAUCAGCCCAGGGAACCCCUUGUGUGUGCUUUCCCAGCAGGAAUCAAGAAGCAAAGAACUGCAGGGUUAUCUCCCACCCCCAGGUAUGCUUGUCCCCUGGCACUGGAUUGAUAAUUUUUAUUAUCUCAAAAUCUCCCCAUUUGAAAUGGCUCCCAGGAGGCCCUGUGCACCAUUCCACUCAUCCUCUUAAGGGGACACAAGUCAACUUGAUCAGUUGUCCCCAAAUUGGGGCAUUUUCUCCUGCUGAUUUUGGGCUAGGAAGCUGAGAGGAACCACACUCCUCCCAGAGGUGGCGCUGUUGACAUGCCUUGUUCACAGAAAGUCUGAAACUUGAGAGCGAGCAAGAAAAGUCAAAAGAGGUGGCUAUUAGACUUGCAAAGGUGGUGCAACCAUGACCCCCUGUUGUUGUUACACUUCUGGACACAAGGUAGGUCAAAUUAAGCUAGCCCAGCCCUUUCCUGUUUCCUUUCUCGGGAAAUGUAAGCACAUGCAGUAGGAAGCUUCAUAUAAAAUAAGUAUGGGUGGGAGCCAACUGCCCAGGAUCGAUGUCUUAAAAUUUUGAAGCAACUUGCUUAUUAUGGCGUAUUUUCCGAGGAGCUUUUGUUUCUUUCAAAGGUGGGAAGGGCGGGUGACCUAGAAAGGUUUGUGUUAGUGAUGUGUUGAACUCCAUAUCCUUUUGGAAGUAGGUUUCAAAUGCAAAUUAUCUUGAUGCAGAGGCAAGAAUUAAUCUGCUCCAGAAACUUGCAGGUGCUUGAAACAUCUGUUAGGGAAGUCAGUGCCGCUUUUGUUUCUACAGUGGGAUGGAGAGGAAUUGGGCGUCUUUAUCAGCGCGAGACUCAUUUGAUUUCAGGGCAGCUAGAAUGGUGGAGGGCCUCCACCAAGAUCCAGAUUUACUACUUUAAUUUCGUUAUGCUUUUGGCAAUCCCAGAAUCUGAGACUUGAGGCUUUCUUUUCUGGGGUCCAUCCUCAAAAAGGGAAGACAAAGCUUACCCGCCCUGGCUGCACCAAAACAGCAACCCUUGUGCUGGCCGAGGAUUUGGCAUCAUGCUGGGGAUUUGCAAAGGCAAUCUGCUUAUGUCCCCCAUCGUCAUGACGCUUCUGGACACAGGUCUUGCAAGAUCUUCAGAAGUCUUGCUUUGCACCAGAAUGGUUGCUAUGCCGUAAAUCUUGCACUUGAGGCAACUGAGCCUGAAGUACAUCCACAGCCACUAACCCCGGGACCGGCCCUCCGUUGAGGGGGUGGAGUCAGCCUGCAAGUCUUUUCUUUCUUCCUUUCCAUCAUUUUCUUCAUACACCUGCACUGUGCCUUUACUCUGAGCAAAGGACUUCCUUCCUUCCUUCUACAAAAACAUUUUGGGAAGCGUGGGAGAUACAGUAGUACGCAGAGCAGACAGGAACUUUGCCUUCACAAAGUUUAUGAGGAGGGGACAGACAAAAUAAAUAUAAAGCACACGGGGGCUUCCCUGGUGGUGCAGUGGUUAAGAAUCCGCCUGCCAAUGCAGGGGACACAGGUUAGAGCCCUGGUCUGGGAAGAUCCCACAUGCCAGGGAGCAACUAAGCCCGUGCGCCACAACUACUGAGCCUGCGCUCUAGAGCCCGCGAGCCACAACU